UAGAUUGAAGCCAGUUGGCUAGGGUAUUUAGCUGUUAACUAAAGUUUCAUGGGAUAGAAGCCCAUCAAUCUAG
rnacentral:tRNA from 2 species